CCGAUACGUGUGAGCUGUUUCAUCAAAUCGAUUUUAAGCUAAAAUAGAUUUUUAGGUGUCUGCAAUCAAGGCUAGUCAAUUUGGGGUAAAUCGAUCACAAACUUGCCUUGCUAAACUACUGCCAGAGAGUCCUUGAAAAAGUUGCAAAAUAAAGAGCUAUGGCAUCUUCAUGUACUGCUAGUUCAUGACAUAUGGACUUUUAUUGUCCAUCUCUUCAAAUUGAAAAGACUGCAGAGCCUGAAUUACCUGCAACGUUAUGCUUCCUAUGAAACAUCAGCCAGCCCACAGAUAGAAGCUCCCUUUUCCAGCUUUAAGCAAGAGAGACCACAAUGAGAUACAGAUCUUGGUAUCAUGGACUGGUCACUUUUACAACCAACACUACUUGUAAAAUAAGAUUUACAAAUUAAUUCCUAAGCUAUUUCAAA